rnacentral:lncRNA from 1 species
UGUACCAGGAAAUCUUCAUUUUAGCAUUUAGGUCCUUAGAGAUGGCAGCACUACAUUUCUUUAGUUCAAAUGGAUGGUCCUUUAGUUUGAGAAUUAGUUUUUGAGACGUUUGCUUUUGAUCAAAACUCUAUGUGUGGGUGUGGCAGUGCGCUUACUACAUGUAAUAAUGUUGGACUGAUGCUCCUUUCUGAGGAGGCUUAAGCCAAAACUUUAUCCAUUAUCUAAAAAAGUAAAAAUCCAGAGAUAGUAUUUUCUAAAGCAUCCAAAUGAUGGUAAUGAAGUUAGGACAAAUACACGCAAAGAGUUGAAGCGAAUCCUGUAGCAAAUAU